UUCCAGUUUGCUGCCUCCUGUUUGCUGUUGCUGUUAUAAAAAUCUAUCCUGCCCUUUGGUUUGCACUCACUGAAAAAUUUGAGCUGCUUUUCCAGUUCCCACGCAGAGCUCCUAAACUAAGCCUGUGAAGCAGCUCAUCAACCAACUCUCUGGAUAGAUCACAGGCUAUUGCUUCAUGUUCAGCCACCCACCACUCCCCAAAGAAAUGUCACCUUGCUGCUUCUCUGUAGCACCGAGGGGCCUCAACUGAGAUUGGAGCCUAGGGCCUGUACAAAUGGACAGUAAGAGACAUUCCUGCCCUGAAGAACUUACAGCAUAAUUAGAUAAGGCAGACAAAGAGGAUAGAAGGAGAAAAAGGCACAGACAGCUUUGGAAGCAAUCUUGAUUGGAGGAGCCAUGCCCCAGUGACUGUCAAGUCUGACCAUCUCUCCUCUGAAGCCUAAGAGGAGGAAAGCCCAUAGCU